rnacentral:rRNA from 1 species
GGUUCAUUCAAAUUUCUUCCCUAUCAACUUUCGAUGUUUGGGUAUUGGCCAAACAUGGUUGCAACGGGUAACGGAGGGUUAGGGCUCGACCCCGGAGAAGGAGCCUGAGAAACGGCUACUACAUCCAAGGAAGGCAGCAGGCGCGCAAAUUACCCAAUCCCGACCGGGGAGGUAGUGACAAUAAAUACUGAUACAGGGUUCUUCUGGAUCUUGUAAUUGGAAUGAGUACAAUUUAAAUCCCUUAACGAGGAACAAUUGGAGGGCAAGUCUGGUGCCAGCAGCCGCGGUAAUUCCAGCUCCAAUAGCGUAUAUUAAAGUUGUUGUGGUUAAAAAGCUCGUAGUUG